UAUUGGUNAUGGNCGAAAGUCUGACCAGCCAUGCCGCGUGAAGGAUGAAGGCCCUCUGGGUUGUAAACUUCUUUUAUCUGGGACGAAAAAAGCUCAUUCUUGAGCACUUGACGGUACCAGAGGAAUAAGCACCGGCUAACUCCGUGCCAGCAGCCGCGGUAAUACGGAGGGUGCAAGCGUUAUCCGGAUUCACUGGGUUUAAAGGGUGCGUAGGUGGGUUUGUAAGUCAGUGGUGAAAUCUCCGGGCUUAACUCGGAAACUGCCAUUGAUACUAUAGAUCUUGAAUCAUCUGGAGGUAAGCGGAAUAUGUCAUGUAGCGGUGAAAUGCUUAGAUAUGACAUAGAACACCAAUUGCGAAGGCAGCUUACUACGGGUGUAUUGACACUGAGGCACGAAAGCGUGGGGAUCAAACAGGAUUAGAUACCCUGGUAGUCCACGCCCUAAACGAUGGAUACUCGACAUCAGCGAUACACUGUUGGUGUCUGAGCGAAAGCAUUAAGUAUCCCACCUGGGAAGUACGACCGCAAGGUUGAAACUCAAAAAAAUUGACGGA
rnacentral:rRNA from 1 species